GUUGGUCUAAUCAACCUGAGCGGAAGCGUUUGGAUCAUCAGUGGUGCAACGGUUUUGAGGCCCAU
rnacentral:tRNA from 1 species